CAAUAAUAACAAAACUUUAGCCCAAUAAUAGCAUAUGAAUAAGAGGCCCAAGCUCUCCUUUCUUUACACCCUCAAUCGGGCCCCUCUCUCUAACCUCACAAGCCAUUCUUCUCUCACAAAUCCAUCGGCCAUUCCUCCAGAAUCCGGUCUUGUUCCGGUCGUUCCAGCCGGCGCCGCACUCACUCCGGCGUCCCUCUCUCCUCACUCAGCCGUUCCAUCACUCUCCCUCACUCUCUCAAUCUCACGCCUCUCGUCCUCCUCUGCCUCGAGACUUCCGCCACCGCCGUCGCCACUGGACCGACCUGGUUCGUGUGUUGCCGUUUUGGGGAAGCUGCUGCUAUCGUUUCGAUCCACCACCGGCGCUGUGCAGUCGGCGAGUAGCGCUGUCGUUGACGACUAGGGGCGUCGCUGCCGGCGUCUGCUUGAUUCGUCGCACCGUUGCCGCUGUUCUUGAGGUCCAGCGGCCAGCAGUGCAGCCCAACGUUCUUCUCUUCUAAAGUUAAGUCUAUUUCAUUCUACUAUUGUAUCUUGAUUCAUUUGCUUAUGAGGUGAAAGUUUAAUACCAGGGUUUGUGGUUUUCCUAAUUCCGUUUAUAAGCCGUGGGGAUUUUGCUACUGUGCUAAAUGAAUAACAACGUUGCUAUAUGCUCGUCAAUGAGCCCUGUGUUGGAUUAUCCUUUCUUAUUAAACUGUGGAGCCUAUUUUCAUGUGUAUACUGAUCAUGCUUGGAUGGAGAAUAUGCAUUAUAGGACAUAGCAUAUUGAGCUCAGUAAAUACCUCGAAUGUGAUCGAAUUGAUUGCUUGUUGUUGAAUCGAAUGAAGUGUGAAAUAACUGAAAUGAAUUUGAAGGUGCUGUUGCUUUAAUAAAUGCAGGUGAAUAAAGGAGGAAUGGACGGAAUUUAGCCAAGACUUACCUAUCGAAGCUUGGCAGUAGGAAUCAUACAUGAUAAAAUAGGUAAAUAAUUGAUAUCUUAAAAAUAAUGCUUACAAAUAAAAUACUCAGAAUUAUUUUGUGUGAAUGUUGAAGAAUGAAAAAUUAUGAGUAAUUUUAGAUUGCAGUACAAGAGGCCCACCCAAACCCUGCGGCCCAGUUUGAUAUUUAACCCAAUCCGACAUCCCAGAACAACCCUCAAAUCAAAUCCCAAAUUCCAACCGAUACAAUGAUUCAGGCGGCGGCGAUGCGGCGGACCUCCUUCUUUUCCAUGAGUUCUCACCUGCAACAGUGCAGGGGCAUCCGAGUCAAGGUUUACAACAGCAAUUUAGAUCAGGCUUUGACCUUAAUGCAGCGGAAGAUGCAGUCCAGCGGCAUCGAGCGAAUGAUAAAGCAGGAACAGCUUGCCCACGUCAAAAAUUCCGAGAAGCGCGUUUUGGCCAAAAAGAAUUUGGAGCGCAGGCUUCGCGCGCAGGAUCUUGCCCGCAAGCUCAAGAUGAUUCUCGUUCAGAAAGUCAGGUAAAGUUUGUUUGAAGUUUGCUGCUUUAAUUUAUUUCACUUAUAUGUAUUUUUGUGUAUGUAUGUAUAUGAUUAUCUUUGAUAGUUGCUCGUAUCAAGCGGGUUACUAAUUGCGAUCUAUAUGAAAUAGAUUGUUUUGUUGAUUGUUGGGAUGUACGGUGAUGUUUGUGUUAGUGUUUUGGUUCUUUGCAUUGAUUUGAAAGUGAAGGGAAAUUGAUUGAAUUGCGAUUUGUGCUAACAAAUUAUUGAGUCUUGAAUUUAUAUGAGAAAAUUAUAGCGUUUGAGUACAAUGACCUGUCUUUAAGACUGAUACUGACUGAGAGUUGAAAUGUUAGCGUAUGAUAUGUUGAGGAAAUGGUUAAUUGAUAUCUUUGUUGCUGUGGAUAAAAAACGAAAAGUUUCACGUAUUAAAGGGAUUCCAUGUGUCUGAUUGUGUUUGGCUCUGUUGCUUCGUUUUGAAUAGAACACCCUGUAUUAAGUUAUUUGUUAUUGGAAUCAUGUGGCUCGAGUUUGUUGAGUUGCUUGAAGUCCGUCCCAUCUUCAGGGAAUUUGCUUCAAAGUAGGAAGUGGGCAUAUCUUACUUUUAGAUCAUGUAAUAGAGAAGGGGCACCGGACACUAUGGAUGAACACAAAUACUGAGCAAAUUAUUUGUGAAUGAUGAGUGUCCUACAACCAUUGGAUGAUGAACAUUCUCCUCUGUUAAGCAAUUAGGGGGCUACAGUCAUCCAGAUAUUUUUCAUAUCUUGUGUAUGUAACUAAACGUUUUCUUCACUCGGAUACAGAGAGAGUAUGGUUAGUCCUUUCUUUUUUCUACUAUUGUUUGAUCAUACAUGUCUAAAUGUGCUGAAUGUUGAACUUCCUAAUUGGCUGGACUAAAGGAGGCUAUGCCUUUGUAAAUCAGCAAAAUGAGAACAUUUUGAAGCAAAUGAUUUACUUUUUUUUUGUUGGUAAGAUUANUUAUUAAUUAACUAUAUUAUUUAAAUAACAUUGUUUUAAAAGUAUAAUUCCUAAUAAGUUUACCUGACAGUAUGCAUCCCAAACUUCAUCCGGUGCCGUGAACUUUUUAGCGGUGUUGUGAUAGCCAAAAACCAGAGUUAAACUUCAUGAGUGUUGAAUAAGCAGUCCAACGGGUCUUAAACCAUUUGAUACGGCUUAGGUAGUGGUUAUAAGUCUUAUUACACCCAAGUCUUUUAUUAAAAACUGGUAGUAUUCUUUCUUCAACAGUUGCUUUGCUAAAUAUACCACUAUUAUCACGCCAUUCCCGUUUUGCAGACUCAACCAAAUUCUAACAAACAUCGCUUUGUUCCUUAGUCCACGGUUCAUAGACUGCCCCUUUUUCGUGUCUUGUUGUUGAGAAUCUCCCAUGAUUGAAUUACUAGACACAAAAUAUAUAUACGUAUAUAGUACUAUAACAAUGAAUAAAGAAAGUAUAAAUAUAAAUAACAAAAACUGUAAGCAACUCACAUGCAAUAGAAAAAUAGAAUAUAGCUGCUAACAAAUUAUAAAGAUACAAGGUUUAUGCAAUAGAAAAAUUGAAUACCAAAAUAGUAUAAAGAUACAAGAUUUAUGAGAGAAUACCUUGGUAAUAGUUAAUGCAGACCCUAAAAUUCUGUUUUUUCUCGAGUCUGGAUCGUGAAUUUGGUAGUGAGGAAGAAACUGACGGCUAUACGAGUAUUUAUAAAGUAUUAGCUGGGCCCAGCGACCGCUAGGGCCCAACGAGCGUUGGAUCAGCAGGUGAUUUGGGCCCAACGAGCGCUGCAUGCCAACGAUCGCUGGCUUCUCCGAGCGCUGAAGCCCAGCGCCCCGCUGCAUGCCAGCGACCGCUGGAUUCGUCAGGCUCGAGCGCUGGGUCCAGCGGCCGCUGGCUUCUUUGCCGCGGGGCGCUGGAACCCAGCGAGCGCGUGAUUUUGGCAGAUUUGUGAAUUCUCGUGGUGCGUCGUCGGAUUUGUUGAUGCCUAUUUUUGAACGAAAUCAAUGAAAGUCAUUCAUUCUUUAAAUUUCAUAGAUUAACGAAUACACCCAGAUUUUAAAAGACUUUUAAAAUGUCUUGAACUAAUACACCCAGAUUUUAAAAGACUUUUAAAAGUCUUGAACUAAUACACCCAGAUUUUAAAAGACUUUUAAAAGUCUUGAACUAAUACACCCGGAUUUUAAAAGUCUGCAGAAAUCAUUAAAAAUCCGGAAUGAAUACCACCCCCCUUUAGUUUGACUCUAAAGUUUUUAAGGGGGGAUUUUACAUUCACUGCCGACUUAAUUUGUAUGUUUAAACUUAGGGGGUGUAUUCGUUCAGGAUUUUAAUAGAUUUUUAAAAUCCAGAGAUUUUUAAAAAUCUACAGAUUUCACACAGAUUUUUCAUGUAUUUUGGAAUUCUAAAUAGAUUUUGAAUGGAUUUUGUAGUGAUUUUAACAAGAAUUUGACGUGAUUUUUACGGAUUUGAAAUCGACCAUCCCAGCGCUCGUUGGAGUAAUUGAGCGCUGGGGCAUCUCCCAGCGAUCGCUGGGUUCCAGCGACCGCUGGCUUAGUGAAAUAUAAAUAUCCAGCGAUCGCUGGGUUUCACAGAAUAAAGCUUAGAAGCUAGCUAGCUAAAGUCCACUCCAACAACUCAUUCAAAUUACGUUCCAUCAAAAAAAUUUAAAGCUGAUUACUUUCACCAAUUUUUGCCAAAAAAAUAAAAAAAAAUCAAUCUUUAUUUGCAUGCAAUCAAACGUUGCUUCUCCCAGAACCUUCCACCAGCUGCUGGCAAGCAAGCAAAACAUUUUUUGCCAAUUUACGGUACAAUUCUUGUUCCAAAUUUCGAGAAUUUGUUUUUGGGUAUCUAAUCCUCGAGCUUUCUUUCAAUGGUUUAUUUACGUUUCUGUUAAACUUUAAUUGUAGGUGAAUUUGAUGUUAAUUUAUGAAGCUUAAGAUUUAUUGUCGCCGUUCGUAGAGAAAUUUGAUUAUAUCUUUUUCCGUUAGAGAUAAAGAAAAUGGAGGCGAGCAAUAGUAGUGUGCUAGUGAAUUCGAACUUAGAGCCUAGGGAUGAUCUUGAAUUUGAUACACACGAAGCAACAUAUGCAUAUUAUAAAGAAUACGCGAAAUCUGUAGGGUUUGGUACAGCCAAAUUGAGGGCCCAGCGACCGCUGAGUGCCAGCGAUCGCUGGCUUCUUCGAACCGCGACCGCCGGAACCCAUCCGGCGCUGAAAUAUGAAAUCUUUUGAAUUCUCGUGGUCAGAGGUCGGAUUUGUUCAUGUGUAUUUUUUGAAUGAAAUCAAUGAAAAUCAGUCCAUUUUAAAAUCCAUAGAUUUUUAAUACUCUAGAUUUUCAUAGAUUUGUAAAAAUACUGAAACGAAUGCCUCUGAAUUUUUAUAGAUUUUAAAAGUACUUGAACGAAUACCUCUAGAUUUUCAUAGACUUUAAAAGUCUUGAACGAAUACACCCAGAUUUUAAAAGUAUGCAGAAAUCUAUUAAAAUCCUGAACGAAUACACCCCCCUUAGUUUGACUCAAAUUUUUAAGGGGGAGAUUUUACAUUCACUGCCGUUUUAGUUUAAGAGGAUGCUUGUUUUCAUGAUUGAUAAAGAUGUAUGAUUAAGUAUUUUUAUUUUGUUAUUAUAAGAUAUUUAAGUUCAUUCUUUCAAUAUGAUAUGAAUGGAGAAAAAUUAACUCACAUGAUAGAAAUUAUCAAGAAUUUUGUGAUAAUUCAAAGUUUCAAUUUAUUUUAGUAAAUAGUGGAUUGGUCUUGUAAUUUUAGGGUUAUUUGUGUGAAAAUAUCCUUUUUUGUUGGGGGAGGGGGGACGGAGUGUGGAAAUAUACUAAUUUUCAAUAUUUUCUACAUCCUUCGUACCACUGUUAUUGUCCCAAUUAUAUUUUGAGUUGUCUCAUUUUUAUUAUCUUAUUUUUAUAGAAAAUACUCCCUUCGUCUUGCAACGCUUGAGCAUAUUCAUUUUCGAGUUGUCCUGCGAAGUUGAGCACUUUUUUAUAUGACAAAAGUUUUUCCCUUCAUUCAUUUUUUUACUUUUUCACCUAUCACACUUAACACACAAAAUAUUAACUCUUUAAAAACCGUGUCGAAAAGAAAUUGCUCAAAUUUGGCGGGACGGAGGAAGUAAUAAUUAACUCUUCAAAAGGUGUGAGUCUUAUCAUUUUUAAUUAAUUUACACCUUCUUCUUAAUUCUCAUACUCAAAAGUUAUGGGACAAUAAUGGUGGGACGGAACGAGUAAUUUUUUAAAUAUUUUGAACUUCAAAAGGACCCACUAAAGUUGAUGUGUCAGAUGAUUGAGUAUGUUGUAAAUAUUAAGUGUGAAUGAUGUUUAAAAUAUGAAAAGUAAUUUCCAAAAAAUGAAACAUACAAUUUUUAUAAACAGAUAAAAAUAAACUCGACAGAGCUGACAAUCACUCACCAGAGUAGAUUUCCAUUGUCAGAGUUGACAAACACUCGUCAGAGUAGAUUUCCAUCUCCAGAGCUGACAAGACCGCCAGAGCUUACAAGACCGACAGAGCUGGCAAUCACUCACAUACGUCACCAGAGCUGUCAAUCACUCGCAAGGCCGCCAGAGCUGCCUACGUCUCUAGAGCUGGCAAUCACGCGCAAGGUCGCCAGUGCUGACAAUCACUCGCAAGGUCUCCAGAGUUGGUAAUCACUCGCAAGGCCGCUAGAGCUGCCUACGUUUCCAGAGCUGGCAAUCACGCGCAAAGGUUGCCAGCGCUGAAAAUCACUCGCAAGGUCGCCAGAGCUGGUAAUCAUUCGCAAGGUCGCCAACACUGCUCCAGAGCUGACAUGACAAUCACUCGCCAGCGCUGCCGAGAAUCGCCCGUUGCACCUGUUUACCCGAGGCCCCUUUACAGUUGUUCACUCCCUUUCCAUCGUGCUCCAGCCUUUCAUUCCCUUUCUACCAGUUAUCCAACGAAUCAUCUCAUUGGCAGAAUCCUUUUUCCUUCUAUAUAAGAGAGCUCCUCUCCAUUAUCUAAACGGAAGGUCACACUCUCCAGUUAUUCUGCUGAACGACCUGUUCCUCUAGUUUUAAUCUGUUGAAGUAUUGUAGUGAAUUUACUUAAGCCUUGUUGUUUUUCAGGUAUUAUGUUCUGCAAGUAUUUAUUUUAGAGAUUGAUUUCAAUUGUAUUGGUAUUUAAUUUGUUUCCUUUUAUUUGAAGUUGAUUUAUGUUUAUUGCACUUUGUUAUAUUUAGUUUUAUUUAUGUUAUUCUAAAUCGCUAAAUUUAGUUAGUAGAUUUAAUGCUCAGUAUUUUCAAUUCGUUAUUUAAUUAGAACUAGUGUAUCUCCCGCACGAUGUGCGGUGAUUGUAGUUUAAGUUUUUGUAUGAUGCGCGCACGUAUAUUUUAUAAUUAUUAAUUUAAAUUAAUAAAAUUAAAAUUUGAUACAAAAUUAUUCUCUGUAAAGUGAUCCAAUUUUCUAAUAUAAUCAUGUAAUUUAUAUAAAACGAUACUACGUUCGUCCACCAAAAAUAUACAACAAUUACUCGAUUUAAUGUCCACUAUGUCACACCCCAAUUCUUGAAACAAUAACUAUAACUGGGGUACAACUAAUCAUCUAAAUGAACAAGGGAAAAUCCUUGUGAAAAUCCGAAUAAAAGGGAUAACGAACGGGCUUAGCCCAUUUGGAUGAAGAAAGACAGGUAUUCAAGUGAUACAAAUCAAUCAACAAAUAUAACAACUUCAGGAUCACAAGUUUAGUGUCAUGCUUCAGAUAACCAACAAUCACUGAUCAAAAUAUUUGAGAGUUAAUAGUCUAGGUUCAACAAAAGAUAUUGUUUUUAGAAUCACAACAUAAUAGGUCUUAAGUUAAGGAACAAAAGACAGAUACUGGCUAGUUCUGCAGCGGAAAUUAAAAUAAGGAGUUGAACUCUAGCCUCAGCUCUGCCCCGUCAUCACCAGCCAUUAACCUGAAAACAUUUGAAAAUAAUUUUGGGCUAAGUACUAAUGUACUUAGUGGGCUGCAACUUUUAAAGCAUUUCAUAAUCUGAAGAACAGUUUAUCCAAUCUUACUGACAUGACAUAGAAGGUUUUAAAGAGAAAUAACUUCUAUGCAUGUUAAAACAUUUUCAUAUAUAUAUACUUAAUUAUUUUGCGCGCAUUUGCACACUCCAUUCUGUUACUCGCUGUGAUCCCGGACCUCUAGCCACCGACGGAUCUCUGUCUCCCGCUGACUUGAACUGAGGGCGUAACCCAGUCAAGUAUAAUAAACCUCGGAAAUUAAUCCAGACAGGCCUAUCAUUUCUAUGCUCCGGAACACAUCCCGUCGAGCACCCUUAUAACGCCUCUGGUUAGUGCCCGAUGGAGAUCAACCCACCGAGUCAGCUAACAAGUGUACACAAUUCUCAAACAACGUGUUAGGUCAUAAGAGAACCUCAAUUGAUUAACUGUACGAGCCUUAAACAUGGUAGAGUGCACAAAAAUAUUUUAUUGGAUAAACAGUUUAUAUUACACGAAUAUUUAAGCUCAAUAGCUAAAUCAUACAUUUGAAAAAUAAGCCCACCUGUCUAGGCAAAGCCUGUCGUUUAACUUUAUUUCUGAAUCGGAAUAGCAGUGCUAAUCCUCCUGAUGCUCAAAGCCUACAAGAAAUCUAUUCUCAAUAGGUCUCCUUGAAUUCUAAUCUUAAGUCAUGGUGUAGUGCUUAAUAUUCUAUGAUUCACUUAGCCGGGUUUUCAAAAUUUAAUGAAUAAAUAAUUGAAAACAUUUCUCUUGAGUUAAGAACACCAACAAUAUUCUUACUCAUCUUUCUUUAAUAAUUGGAAUUAUAAUAAAACCAAUUAAAUCAUAAAUAUUCUUAUUGCAAAAUAUAAUGCAAAUCAUGUCAUGCUUAGCAUAUAAUAAGUAAUUACUUAAAAUAUGCACAUAAUAAUAAUUUAAUAUUAUUAUAAAAAUUUAAAAUAAUUAAUCAAACUUAAUAAGUCUAAUUAAUUAAAUAGUGUAGUCCAUUUUAAAAUAAAGAAACUGCACAGCCCAAUUAAAUAAAUUAGUAAAGGCCCAACAGAUUUAAAAAUUAAAAGCCCAACUGAAACAAAAAUAAAUAAAAUCUCGGCCCAAAAACUCAUAAAAAUCGGCCCAUGACUCGAGCCCACUCUAAUUAAAAUCGGCCCAACCUCAAAAUUUAAAACAAAGGCCCAACCUCAAGCCCAAACUCUCAAACUAAGCCCUAAACUACACUCAAGCCCACUCUCAAGCCCACUCUAACCAAGCCCAACUCUCACCAAGCCCAAAGCCCAACCCUACACUCUCUUAUCUCCCUCAAAUCGCACAACACUCAUACACACAAGCAGCUGCGCAGCAGCACUCUUCUCUCCCUCUCUCGGCUCCCUCAAAUUUCCGCCGCCACGGCUCCUCCUCCGGCGACUGGCCAAGACCCGACUACCUCUCUCUUUCUCCAACCGUGGCCGGGCAGCAACGCCGUGCCCUGCCUCCCUCUUCACGCUAAACCCACCACCGCGGUUCUACCUCCGGCGAUAGCAGCCCCAGCCGCCACCGCUCCUCCCUCUCUUGACCGAUCCUCCCUCUGGAACUCCGGCGAUAGCAGCGACUUAACGCCACCACCACCGGCGUCCUAGCCCCCAACUCUCUCUCGAUCUCCGGCCCGACAGCAGCGGGCAAAACCGCCGUGCCGCGGCCUCCCUCUGUUCUCACCAGCGUCCUCUUCCUCUUACACGGCCGGAUGACCGGCAGCGAGCACGCCGCCAUCCCGGCACCGCUCAACUCAACCCAACACACACACACACGGUUAAAGCUUGAAAAUAAAAUCUUUGUCUUUCUUUUCUUUUCAAUAAAUCAUGCUUUCAUGUAUGUAUAUGUAAUAAUGAAAGUCAUACUAUUGAAAUGCUUGAAUGUGUUGCUGUGUAUAUUGGUUUACUGAAAUGGCACAAAUGAAUUGCUUGAUUUAAACUGUAAAAGCUAAUGAGACGAAGGGGUUCAAGAGAGAACCUUUAGGAACUUAGGAUGUGAAAUGGGUGUUGUUUGAUUCUGGAUUUGCUUGGUUGCUGGAAUCGAGCUGCUGAUAUUCCUUAAAUGGAGCUAUAGGAAAAGAUAGAAUUUGCAGAUAUUGUUUCCAUCAAUUUGUAAGAUGAACCAAGCAAAAAUGGAAGAAACUCACGUUUAAAGCUCACCUAUGAAAUUAUCUUUUGCUCCUGAAUUCUGCUACUUGCGAGAGAGAGAGAUUGUGAAAGAUUUUGUGAAAUAAUGUAGGAAUAAAUUAAUUUGAGCAUAAGAUAUGGCAGACAAGCUUUAGUGUGGGUGGAAAGAGAGAUUGUGAAAGAUUUUGGAGAUUAUUUGCUGUCGGAUUAGUAGGAGAAGGGGGUAUGGUGGGAGGAAAGAAAGUGGAAAAUUUGAUAAGAUAUGAUUUAAGAUAUGAUUUGAUUGUGACAUGUGUGAAAAAAUAAAAAAAUAAUUAUGAUAAAGGGUGGCUAUUAGGAACAUAAAAUACCGGGACUGUAAUAAUACUUCAGGGUUCGUUAAAUAAAUAGCUCGUGAAAAUACUUAAAUGCUAAAUUAAAUAAAUAUGCAAUGCAUAUAAAUUCAAUAACUAAAUUUACAAAUGUUUUUGUAAAUCAUUUUUGUUGGAAUUAAAAAUAAAUUCAUUUUCUUUAUAUCCGGCGUGAAUCAUCUUACUUCUAAAUUCGAAAAAUUAUUCUAAAUUUAACUCGGAGAAACGGGGUAUUACAAAGAAUAUACAACUUUCUUUUUUAGGACAUGACUAUCCUUUUUCUAACCACAAUUACUCAUUUUAGAUUACUUACACUCAAUUUAACCACAACUACUCGUUUUUAAAUGAUGUAAGACCCUUUAUUCACUAAAAGCAUGCAUCUACCAUUAUUUUAUUAAAUAAUUCAUCAUUACCCUUUAUUUUUAACAUUUAAUUUCUCAUAAUUAAUUUUGUUGACUUUUAUUAAUUUAUAAUUAUUUUACUAUUGAUUUAAACAAAUGAGUAAUCAAUUCAACAAAAGUAGAUCCACAUAGUAUUAUCUUGAAAACAUUCUUUUGUAAUGUAAUAACUUUAUACUUUCCUUCUUGACACAUAUUAACAUAUAUUAUCUUUUUUUAUAAUAGUAUUAAUAACAUUGUAUUCUAUUAACAACUUUUCAAUGUAAAAUAAAUAGGAGUACACAAUAUAGAAAAUCAGAAUGUUAUAUAAAUAACAAAAUAACAAAGAAAAGAAAAACAUUAAAAAGAUGUUUAAGUGCGUCAGUAGUCUUAACUUUAAAAUAAAAACAAUAAUAAUAUAUAAAAAAUUUAAACGAUCAUAACAUGCUCAUUUAAAUUGAAUUAUGAUCUUUUAUUUGAGAUAUAUAAUUAUAUAUUACAUAUUUUAUCUUGAAAAAAAUAAUACAAAAAUAGAAGAAAAAAGAUGGACAAUGAAGAUAAAAAUAUAUAAUAAAUUGAAACUUAAUCGUCCACAAGUAACAAAAUAUUUUUUUUUUCUUUGAGAACUUGCGUCUUUUAAGUAUUACUUUAUUAAUAGCUAUUUUUACAAUAUUAAUUAUAUUUUAAAAUAAACUAUUUAUUCUUCUAUUUUUAUAUAGGGUUUACAUUUUUAUUAUUAUUAUAAUAGGAAGUAUUUUUAAAUUAUGUAACAUUUAUAACUGCUUCCAAAUUCAAAAUUAUAUUAAUAGUUAAACAAAGUAAUAUAUAUAUAUAUAGAAGGAAAAUAUUCAAAAUAAAAAUUAAUAAUUAAGUGGUGUGUUUCGUAUAUACAAUUUAAUAUUUUAUAUUCAAAUAGUACAACAUAGCAGUUAACAUUUAUAUGUUGUAAUUUAUAAUUAAUUUUGAUUUUCAUACAAUUAACUGGAUAAAAACUAUUUCAAAAAAUUACGUAUAAUCUAUAGGCGUACUUCAAAUUUAAUAAUUAAAUAACAAUAUUGUUAAACAUUAAAAUACGUAACUAACUCAAUAAGAAGAGUAUUUAGUGUUGAAUUAGAAUAUUUUGUUUAGAGAGAUAACGAUCCAUGCACAGUAAAAAGAUUUAAUUAUUUAAUAUUUAUAUAUUUAUUAAUUUGUUUAUCUUUUUGAGAGAAGAAAUCAUUUAAUAUUGUUAACAUUCUUAAUUAUUUCAUGUUGUUUAGAGUCACUUAUUUCUAAACAUACGUGUGGUGUUUAGAAUGAGACCAACACAUGCUUAUGUUUAGAAGGAAAAACAAAUAUAGAAGAAAAUACAAAUAUAGCAGUUUUUUAGGAGAGAAAAUUUCGGCAGUUUUUGUAACUAAUUUAGGAGAGAAAAUUCCAAUUAUAUCCUUGCAAUUGAAUUAAAUUACAUUUACUUUGCUUUUUAUAUAUAUAAAGAUUUAGAAUAAUGCUAGACGCACACAAUACAUGCACACAUAAUACUCUUAAAAUUUUAUUACCUAAAUUAAAUUAUAAUCAUGACUAAAUUACCCUUAAUUUAUAUGAGAAAGUUUUUACAGAUUUUAUUUCUUUUUUCAACUUUGAUAAUUUUGGAAAGUUAUUGAUUUAUUUCCUAAAAUAUGGCCACCUUUUUUUUUGUAAAUGAUAUGUAACAAUAUUGUUAAUUUUUUCAAAUUGGAAAGUUUUUAAAGAUUUAUUUUUUAUAUUUAUCUAUAAAGAUUAAUCAUUAGAAAUAAACCUUCCUUAAUUUAAGCUUUGUAAAUAAACGCCCUAGAAGUAAACGCACUAGAUAUAUGGUCACCUUUUUUUUUUCUUUUUUUUUGGACUCUAACUAGUUUUUUUUCUUUAUCUUUUUUUGAAAUAUGGCCACUUUUGUUUGCAAAUGAUAUGUAUUAAUAUUAUUAUUUUUUCUUUAUUUUAUUUAAUAUUAUCAUUCGGACUCUAACUAUUAAUUUUUUCUUUCUUUUUUUAUUUUAUUUUUAAAUAUGACCACUUUUUUUAAAAUGAUACUGUAUAAAUAUUAUUAAUUCUUUCUUUAUUUUAUUUAACAUACAAUUUUAUACGGUCAGUUUAUUUUGCCAUCUGUUUUUUUUUUUAAAUUCUCCACUUUUUUUUGGAAAAUGAUAUAGUAUGUAUCAAUAUUAUUAAUUUUUUCUUUAUUUUAUUUGACAUACAAUUUUAUAUGGUCACUUUAUUUUGUCAUCUAACUAUUAUUAUUUAUAUUUAUAUUUAUAUUUAUAUUUAUGUUUAUAUUUAUAUUUAUAUUUAUAUUUUAAAUAUGGUCACUUUGUUUUGGAAAUGAUAUGUAAUAAUAUAAUGUAAUAUCUAAUAAUAUAGGACAUUCCUUAAUUGCUUUUUCAAGAAUAUCUUAUAAUUUAAUUUUAUGAAAAUAAUUGAUCAAUGUGCUCCACAUAUGACAUUACUUUCAUAGAUAUAAUCAUUUAUUUUUUUCACACACACACACACACAUAUAUAUAUAUAUAUAUAUAUUGUAAUGCCCCUCUCUUUUAAUUACAUAUUAGAAUAAAUAGUUGCAUUAAUUACGAUAUUUCUUUUGUAUAUUUAAUUAUUACUUGAGAUUAUUAUAGUGAUUCCGAUAUUUAAUUAUUAUUUCUUUUAAUUACAUAUUAGAAUUAUUCUUUAUUUAUAUUAGAUAAAUAAAUGAAUGGGAUUUCCUACAUCCUCAAAGGUACAUGAAGUACUUCGAUAAAGGAAGAACGAUUGUAUAUGAGUUAGAUACAAUCGUUUAAGGAAAUAUGGGUAGUUAGAGAAAGGAGUGAAUAACGAUUCACUGCAUUUGUUGUUAUCUUUUCUAUUAUUCACUUGAACACAUGUUUUCGUGUUAUUAAAGGUUCAAAUAAACAAAAGCGCCUGAGUAACCUGUCGCGCUAAGGAAAGAGAAUCAUUGUCUUAAGUAGCAAAACACUGCAACUAGGUGGGCAUUACUUUCAUACAUAUCAAAUGAGUUUAAAUGUUACGUUCAAGCAAGUUAUUUCAUGACAGAAUCUUUGAGUUGAAGUUAUUUCAAGUUUUGUCUUGCCAAAAAAUGUUUCAAUUUCAGUAUGAUAUCUAUCUGAUGUGGCUUUGCCAAUUAUCAUGCAAUCGAAUUCGGGUCUUGAGCAGUUGAUAGCUUUCCUGCCUUGACUAGUGUACACGAGGGACCGUGAGUCAUCUAGCGGGUUGGCCAGUCCGGUGUCCGUUGAGAGGUGGCCACAUCCCCGGCACUCAGCUUCAGACAUGAUAGAUCAAGAGAACUUAGACUGCAGUCCACAUCCCCGGCACUCAGCUUCAGACAUGAUAGAUCAAGAGAACUUAGACUGCAGUCGAACUUUAAGAAUCACAAAUGAAUUUAGUAAGCUUAGGCCUUUUAGCGAAAACUCUCUUGCUGUACUGUUAUGAUGGCAUGACAAUUUACGUUCUUUCUUUUAAAGCAUGCAUGUUUAUUUUAUCUAGGCAUACGUGUCCACUGAGUACCUUUGUACUCAACCCUGCAUAUAUUUCUAAAUGUGCAGGUUGAGUCGUGGACGGUGGUGAUGAAGUGACGGAUGGAAACCUCCUUUUGUCUCAAGUUAUAUGUAUUGAUUAACUCUUGAGUACAUGUCUUCAUACAUGUAAUCAGAACCCCUAUUCCGCUGCGUACUCAUGUUAUUUUGGCUAAGUCGGAGCUAUCCGAACUUAUUAGUUGAAUGAGUCAUUGUGACUAAAUCUUUGUUAUAUUAUGAAUGUUUCCUUCAUCAUCAAUGAUCCUUCGUUGUUUACUUCCCCUUUCUAUCCCCGCUCCUAAUCUCCCUCCCCUGGUCAUGAUUUCCCAGUUUAAUUAUCCUUAAUUAAGUCCGGUCGUGACAUAUAUAUAUAUAUAUAUAUUGAGUUGACUAAUUUAAUAUAAUAUAUUAUCCUAUAGUAUAAUUUCAUUGAGUAGUCGAUCAAAAUGUUGAACGUAUGACAUUAUUUUCAUAAUUUUAGUAAUUUUUUAAAUAAAUUAUUUAUAUUAUUCUGAGUUCACUAAUUUAUAUAUUAUAAUAUAUUUUCUUAUAGUAUAUUUGUACUGAAUUGUCGAUCCAUGUGCUCAACGCAUGACGACAUUAUUCCAAAACAAUUAUAGCCAUUUACUUUUAUUUUCUAAUUUUAAUUAUAUGUCCCUAAUUUGCUACUAUAUAUGAUUUUUCGUGAACCUAUACCUUUAUAAAAUAAUCAAAUAAAGUAGCUACCGUGUCUUAUCAUUCAAACCAUUAAAAUAAUUCCUUCAUAUUUUAUAGUACUAUUUUUGUUUUAUUUCAAGUUCCCUUUAUGAAAAAAUAGAAGAAAGUAGCUAAUGUCAUCUAUAAUUCCUUCUUUUUUAUACACCCUCCGUCCAUGAAAGAACUUUCUAGGAGUGAGUGACACGGGUUUUAAGAAAAAAUAUAGUUGAGAGUAUUGAGAGUGAAUAAAAGGUAGUUGAAUGUAUUGGGAGUGGUGAAAAUGUGUUAUAAUUAAUAUUGAGAGUUGUGAAAAGUGAAAAGUGAAAAGUAAGAGUAAUUAUAAGUGGUGGGGUAUAGUCCAAAAAUACGUAGGAAGUUUUUUUGUGGACGUCCCAAAAGGGAAAGAUAAGAAGUUCCACGCAUGCAUGACAUUACUUUUAUAAUUAUAGUCAUUCAUUUUUUAUAUAUUUUUUAUUUUGACUUGACUAAUUUAAUAUAAUAUAUUAUCCUAUAGUAUAAUUUCAUUGAGUAGUCAAUCAAAAUGUUCAACGUAUGACAUUGUUUUCAUAAUUUUAGUACUAAUUUUUUAUACAAAUUAUAUUUAUUAUUUUGAAUUCACUAAUUUAUUAUUGAGUUGUCGAUGUGCUCAACGCAUGACGACAUUAUUCCAAACCAAUUAUAGCAAUUUACUUUUAUUUUUAAUUUUUAUUUUGAUGUCCCUAAUUUGCUAUGAUUUUUUCGUUAACCUAUACCUUUAUGAAAUAAUCAAAUAAAGUAGUUAUCGUGUGUUAUCAUUUCAAUCAUUAAAAUAAUUCCUUCAUAUUUUAUAUUUUUUCAUUUCAAGCUCCCAUUAUGAAAUAUUCAAAGAAAGUAGCUAAUGUCAUUUAUCAUUCGAACCAUUAUAAUAAUUCCAUCCUAUUUUAUAUUUUUUAUUUCUAGUUCACUAAGUAUAAUAUAAUGUCCUACAAUAUAAUUUUAUUGAGCAAUCAAUCGAUGUGCUCAACGUAUGACAUUAUUUUCACAAUGUUAAUCAUUUAUUAUUUCGAGUUCACUAAUUUAUUAUAAUAUAUUUUCUUAAAGUAUAUUUGUAUUGAGUUGUCGAUCCAUGUGCUCAACGCGUGACGACAUUAUUUCAAAAUAAUUAAGGUCAUUUACUUUUAUUUUCUAAUUUUUAUUUAUAUGUCCCUAAUUUGCUAUGAUUUUUUUGCUAACCUAUUCCUUUGUAAAAUAAUCAAAUAAAGUAGCUACCGUGUAUUAUCAUUGGCACCAUUAAAAUAAUUCUUUCAUAUUUAUUUUUUUAUUUUAACUUCACUAAAUUUAUUAAUAAUAUAAUGUCCUAUUGUAUAAUAUCAUUGAGCAAUUGAUCUAUGUGCUCAACAUAUGAUAUUAUUUUCACAAACUUAGUCAUUUAUUAUUAUUAUUAUUAUUAUUAUUAUUAUUAUUAUUAUUAUUAUUAUUAUUAUUAUUAUUAUUAUUAUUAUUAUUAUUAUUAUUAUUAUUAUGAGUUUACUUAUUUUAUUAUGUAAUUAAGUGUUGAUAGUAAAUUUUUUUAUAAAAAAAAUAAUUGGGGAAGGUUGGUUUGAACUGUAGAACCUACUAUUUACAAGCAAGGUCUUUACCGUUUGGAUAUCCUAAAAAUAACAUCACACAUUGACUGCAUUGACCACAUUUUUUGAGUCUUUCAUAAGAGUGUAAUUGAUAACACUCAUGUUUUCCAUGGUUUUAGUGUUCAUAUGAUGUCAAUUUUAUAGGAAACUGAGUGUUGGAUGAUUGUUUUAUGCUUAAUUUGUUUUAUCUUUUGAAACAUGUUUCUUACUCGAACUUUGAAGGAAAUUUCAGGUUUAUUGAGUUCGAAUUUGGAAACCUUACCUGAAAUAGAAGUUGUAGAUCGUCUCGAUACGAGUUCGUGAGCGCAAACGGAUUAUAAAUCGGAGUUCGGACGAGAAAGUUAUGACCAAAACAAGAAAGUCGCGCGCAGCAGCAAAACAGCGGCGACCCCGCGGCGACCGGGCGGCGACCGCCGCCCGAAGAAGGAUUUUUGGGAAGGAGCCGGCGACCAGCCGGCGACCGCCGGGCAGCCCGCCGAGUUUUCGGCGCCAGCGGCGCCCGCGCGGUGAGCGCCGUCUGAUCGCCGCCAGACCGCCGCACCUCCGUAUUUUUGCGUUUUUUAGGCGUUUUUCAAGUCCUUUUCGAGCUCAAACUCUGUAUUUUACCCUGGUACUAUAAAUAGGUCUUCUUUUGACCUAUUUUGGGUUCCUUUUUGAGUUCCCAACUUUUAUUUUUCAAUUUCAUAGCUUUAGAAUUUAUUGCUUUCCAGUUUUUACUGCUUGGAUUGGAUUUCCACAAGAUUGAAGAUUCAAGCUGCUACAUUCGUUCUUAUUCAGUUUUUAUAUAAUUCAGUUUUUCCAAUUGCUUUCUUCUUAAUUAUGUUUAUGUUUUAUUUCAGCAUGUCUGGCUAGUUCCCUUUAGCUGAUUCUAGGGUUUGUAAAUAGUUGAUUGAAUUUAUGUGAUUUAUUUGUUAAUACCUUUGUGCCUUCCAGUUUAUGAUUCAUAAUUCCUGGUGCUUAAUUUCUUGUGAAUUAUCUGAUCAAUAGUUUGCAUGUUUAGCUAUUCGGUUUGAGACCUAGCGGAGAUAACUGUUUAGCGGAUUCAGGAAUGUAUGAUAUGAUUUUAACCUUGAGACCUAGCGGAGAUAGGUGAAUCAUAGGGAGCUAUUCUUAGGAGCUAUUGGGAGUUAGUAGAUUUUCUUGAGACCUAACGGAGAUAGAUAAUUUACUAAUCUACGAUCGUUGCUGCUCUAGCGAGAGUGAUUGAUUAAUUAAGUGAUCUCUCAUCAUAACUGGAUUAAACUGGUACAUAGGAUUAAUAGAUUUAUUAUGUGGAUUUAGUUAAUGAAUUUACUACCCUAGGAUCAGUUGUCUUUUAAUAUUCGAAUUUUCCUACGUGUUUUUAAUUAUUGUUAUUUGCGUUUUAGUUUAAGUUAAUUAAACCUUCCUACUUUCGUUUACCUGCAUACUGUGAGAGUCUGUUUAGGAAAUAGAUAUAGUAAUUUCGUUUUACAGUCUCUGUGGAUACGAUACUCUGCUUGCUAUUUCUGUGCUACAAUUACACCGUGUUAGUUGCGGUAUUUUUGUUGCUAAUAAAAUAGUGAUCAACUUUUUGGCGCCGUUGCCGGGGACUGUUUAGAUUUUGCUUUAAUAUUUCCGAUAGGACUUUAUAGUACUGCUAGGUUUUAUUUGUUUUUAUUUUUCUUUUCUAACUUUUAAAAGUUGUGUUUCUGUAGGUUGCAUAUGAACACACGAUCUCACGGAAAUCCUCUCUUUGAGUUUGACCCUGAAAUCAAUAAGACCUUGCGCAACCUAAAGAAGCAGAACGAUCAAGUUGAGACAGAAACGAUGGCUACUCCAGAGCAAAUCCAAAUUCGAGCUCUGCAAGAGCAGUUGAAGAAGCUGCUUGAUGCACAGGAGACAAGAGAGGCUCAGAAACAACCAGCCAUCAAUGAAGCGUUCAUACCACAGUAUGUGUACCAGGAGCCCCCACGAGUGAACGUUAACAACUUUGAGCUGAAAACGGGUUUGAUCACGAUGGUCCAACAGAGCCAAUAUGGUGGACAAGCGAUUGAAGACCCUAAUGCGCACCUGGCGCAUUUCCUGGAGCUGUGUAGCACGGUGAAGAUGAAUGGUGUCCCCGACGACAUUAUCCGUCUUCGUCUUUUUCCCUUCUCACUGCGGGAUAAGGCGAAGUCGUGGUAUCAUACGCUGCAGCUGGGAGAGAAUAUCGUGUGGGAGGAUUUGGCUCAUGCAUUCCUACGCAAGUUUCAUCCGCCUGGUCUUACGUUGAAACUGAAGAUGGACAUCGUGCAGUUUCAGCAGUACGAUGGAGAAAAGUUAGCGGAGACUUGGGAGAGGUAUCAGGAGAAGCUUAGAAAGUGCCCAAGCCAUGGUUUUGAUGAAGGCACGCUCGUGACAAUGUUCUACAAUGCCUGCGGAGAGCGUACAAGGAUGCACAUGGAUACAGCCGCAGGUGGCUCCCUACUCUAGAAAAGCAGUUUUGACGCAUGGAGCAUUAUUGAUAGUAUGGCUUCUACGAGCUACCAAUGGCCAUCGGAGCGAGUACAAUUGAAGAAGAUUGCAGCUGCGUCAAGUUCUGAUCCUAUGGCAGCAAUGGUUACUCAACAGGCAGCGAUGGCUACACAGCUGGCAGAGCUGACUACAAAAAUUGGUGAGUUGAAUGUUGGACGUCAUGAGCAAGCUGUGAUAGACCCGUCAAGCAUGGAAGAUGUCAAUUUUGUGAAUGGCAGAAACUAUGGGAAUUUCCAGCGAGGACAGCCAGGAAUGUAUGGCAGAGGUCCACAAUUUCAGCAGGGUCAGCAGCAGUUCCAGCCAGGAGCACGCCCGCAUCCUAACCCUCUUACGGCAAUCCAAACAAUGCUUUGCAGCCUCCACCUGGAUUUUCUGUGUCUAGCGGAGGAGUUAUAAAUGAGCCGAAGAAGGUAUCAAUGGAGGAUAUGAUGCAUCAGAUGUUAAUGAAGAUGACUGGGAUGGAGACAACUGUUAAUUCAAGGAUGACUAAUUUGGAGUCUCAAGUGGGAAAUAUUGGGAAUAAUUUUUCAGCACUGUCCAAGCAAGUGCAGAUUUUGGAGACUCAAGUUGGUCAGAUGGCCAACCAAGCAGCUGCGCAGCACACACCAAGAAAGUUUCCUAGCAACACUCAGUUCAAUCCGAAGAGCCAACAUCAACAGCCUCAGCAAAAUCAGCAAUGUCAUUCCAUACGGGUGGUUGAUAAUUCAGUUGAGGAUGAAGAGCAGCGGGAUCAUACAGAGCAGCGGGACGGCAAGAAUGGAAAGGAAAAAAAUGUAGAGAUUAUGGAGGAGGAUGACCUGGAGACGAUUGUGUGCGAUUCGCCGCCUACUUCUAAGGUAUCGUCGAACACCUCUGCUGUUAAGAAGCCUAUUCCUACUCCUACGUUUCCCAGGCCAGAGUACAAGCCUGUAGCACCCUUCCCGAAUAGCCUGGCAAAGCCGAAGAUGGAUGAGAAGUUUUUGGAGACAUUUAAGAAGUUGGCUGUGAAUAUUCCUUCCGUGGAGAUCUUGAGAAACAAGCCAAAUGAGGUGCAAAUUGUGAAGGCUGUGAUGGAAAAGAAGAGAGCAUUCAAUGAAUUUGAGGAGGUGCUCGCAGUGAAGGAGUAUCAGUUGGCUCCAAAGAGAGAAGAUCCGGGCAGCUUCAAUAUUCCUGUGAAGAUUGGAAAGUCAUUGUUUGAGAAAGUGAUGUGUGACACCGGAGCAAGCAUAAAUGUCAUGCCUCUCAAAGUUUAUAGGAAGUUGAAGCUGGGGGAUUUGAAGCCAACCAACAAGACAAUUCAGCUUAUUGAUAAGUCUUGCUCUAAACCUCUAGGAGUUGCGGAAGAUGUGCUUGUGAAGGUGAGUGAUUUUUUCUUCCCAGUCGACUUUGUAGUGUUGGAUAUUCCGGAGGAUCCAAAGAUGCCUUUGCUGUUAGGAAGACCUUUCCUUGCCACAUGUGGAGCAAAGCUAGAUAUGCAAAGGGGGACGAUGACAUUGGGAGCCUAUGGGGAAACUGUGAUUUUCAAGAAACCUCCACCAAAGGAAGUUCCCCAGAAUGAAGUGAUAAAUUUGGCUGGCAGUUUUCUAGCAAAUUCGGCGAAUGAAGAGGUUGAGAAGAAUGAGCUGCCCAAGUAUGAAGCCAAGAAAAAAACUCCAAAACCAAAAGAAGUUCUGACUUUUGAGAUGUGUUUGUUUUUGGAGCAUGAUGGGGGGUCUUUGAAAACCCAUACCCCCAAGAAGAAGAAAGUGAAAUUCCGAAUUUUUCGGAACAAGAAUGAGAAGGGGGCAAUGCUUGUGGAGGAUGUCCGAGCCAAGAGAAGUGUUUUUGUGGAGAGGGCACCAAAGAGUAGAAAAGCUUUCCAAUGGUAUGCUAGAUAACUUAAUCUUUUAUUGAUGUCAUUAAUUGCAACAAGAGAUCAAUACGUAUUGAAGAAAUCAAAUGACUAAAAUGAAGAGUUUGGAGAAAUAAAAUAUGAGCAGUGUCCCCUUUAUAUGUUUUGGCCAAAGUAGUGAAUUACACCAACCAAAACCUUGGGUUGAAUCAAGAAACGUCCCAAAGUUUGAACAGAAAUAGGAGAUAACCGAACAACAAUUUGUAAAAUUAUAUUAUAGAUUUACAAAUGUAGAUCUAAUAUAAAAUUGAAGCAAUCAAACCAAAACAGAAAAUUAAUAAUACUCCUUCGAUUGCAAAUAUCAAGCAAUGAUUUUCAAAUCUAUUGCAAUACACGAAUUUAUAACCAUUUUCAUUCGUCUCUCUCAUCAAUUUUUUCAAUUUCAAGUAAUAAUUCAAAUACCACAUCUAUACAUCGAAUAUGAAUUACCUUGUCGGAAAGACACGAUUCUUUCCUAUGGCAUACCUCCAAUAUUAACUCAAUUGGCUUUCAUAUGACAUAUCUUCAAUAUUGAUUCAAUUGGUUAGAGACUCGUGCUGAUAACGUGUUGAAAGUAGAGAGAAGAGGAGAAGAAUAGAGAAUGACAUAAAGAGCGUGAAGAGAAUAGAUCUGCAGGAACGUAUUAUUGUGAGGACUAAAUGCCUCUAUGUUGGGAACUUAAUGAAAUAUUCUAAUCCUUGUUUUGAUGAUACCAAAACCAAUAGGUCUCGUUUGUAAUAGACUAGAAUUGUUUGAACUCAAGUGUUAGAGUUCUUUUUCUAGUUUAGUUGCUGUUAUGAAGAUUGAAGACUGAAGAACGAAGGACUGAAGACUAAAGACUGAAGUUGCCGACUGAAGCAUCAGCCAAAGAAUCAGUUUUUAACUGAUUACUUAAAUGCGAGCCAAGUGGAAUCAGCGGACUGAUACUAAAGUCAAGUAUCAGCUAAACAUUCUUCCUCGGACUGAACCUCCAACGUUCAAAAGAAGCCACACACUCCAGAAGUACAGCCGCAUUGAAUGCAGAGAUCUCAUGAUCGUCCUUUCUCUGCAGAUGUCAUUCCUCUUUGGUGAUUACCUUUUCAGAGAUGUCGCAUCUCCUGCUCUUCAACAUAUCCGUUCUCACUAAACAAGGGACCUCGAAGAUUGAAGCCUCAGCCCAAGUUCAAAUUACUCUCUAACGGAAGAAAUCUUGAAGACCUUCUCCGCCAACGGAUCUAUUCAAGACUUCUCCUAUAAAUAGCGCUCGAGGAUCACUUCAAUCUUCACCGAUUCAACGACAUAAGCUGAACCUCUGCCAAAAUUGUUUCUCAGCUAAAGCCCAGACUCUCCCAAGUUUGAAUCAAAGAAGAGAAUUCCAAAGUCAAAAAUCAGUCACUGCUGAUUACAUACAUUCUCUUAGACCUUAGGCAAGCCUUGUUUAUCCAAAGCCUAGGUCAAACUAACUCCAAAGAACUUGUUCUUUGAAGUUUAGUUGGCAAGUUUUCAAACCUCCCUUCAACCGACUGAAUCGAGUGUUUGUGUUGCUAAGGAGUUCAGAAAGGUGUUCUGUCUCCGUGAGAUCCUAGUGCCCAGUGCGUGCUAGGAGUGAGAAAUCCAACAAGGUGUGUUGAUGCUGAAGAUUGGAUCUUCGGUUGUUUCGGUUGUGUGCACUCGUAAGCACACGUUUAGGUUUGCAGUGCACCCGUAAGCACUUGCCCAGUGAAGUUGUUGGUCUGAUCAACCGACCGUGGAUGUAGGAAGUGUUUUCUGAACCAUGUAAAAAUCUCUGUGUUAUUUACAGCUUUCAGUAUUUACUUCUUACUUGUGCUCUUCCUUUCGUUAACUGAAAACUGAUUAAUAGCAAAGAGAAAUCUAAGACUAACAACGUGCUCAACUCACAGGCUAUUGCGAAACAAAAGUUUUCCACUGCGUGUGUUAUCAGUUUGACUGAUCUAUCCUCUGAUAGUCAGUAAGACUCAAGUCGUGGCAUUCCAAUAAUUAAAUUGAAAAGUUUAGUUGGAGUAAUUUAUGGGCUCAAGUAAUUAAAUAAUUUUAGGGCCCAGUUGAAUAAAGAGACAAUUAGUUGGGUUCAAUUAAAUAAUUUGAGGAAGGCCCAGCUAAAAUAAUACGACAAUCCAAAGAAUAAAAUGAGUUAUCUUAGGUUUAAAUUUAAACAAAACUCGGCCCAAUUACUAAUAACAACUGGGUUCAAAUUAAAUAAGAUCCGGUCUAAGUAUUUAAAACAAAAUCAGCCCGAGAAUUGUGAUUUAUCUGGCUUUAAAAUAUUUAAACUGGGCCCGACAAAAGAAAUAAAAACUUUACUGGGCUCAACAGAGAACCGGCCAAUUUGGAUAGAAUGAUAAAGUCUAAUUUAUAUAAAAUGCCUCAGCCCAAUUAAAAUAAAAGAGCCCAACUAAAUCAAAUAAAAAGGCCCAAAUUCAUACUUAAUAAUAAAAGCCAAAUAAUAACAAAACUUUAGCCCAAUAAUAGCAUAUGAAUAAGAGGCCCAAGCUCUCCUUUCUUUACACCCUCAAUCGGGCCCCUCUCUCUAACCUCACAAGCCAUUCUUCUCUCACAAAUCCAUCGGCCAUUCCUCCAGAAUCCGGUCUUGUUCCGGUCGUUCCAGCCGGCGCCGCACUCACUCCGGCGUCCCUCUCUCCUCACUCAGCCGUUCCAUCACUCUCCCUCACUCUCUCAAUCUCACGCCUCUCGUCCUCCUCUGCCUCGAGACUUCCGCCACCGCCGUCGCCACUGGACCGACCUGGUUCGUGUGUUGCCGUUUUGGGGAAGCUGCUGCUAUCGUUUCGAUUCACCA
rnacentral:lncRNA from 1 species